GACGAACGCUGGCGGCGUGCUUAACACAUGCAGGUCGAACGGAAAGGCCCUGCUUUUGUGGGGUGCUCGAGUGGCGAACGGGUGAGUAACACGUGAGUAACCUGCCCUUGACUUUGGGAUAACUUCAGGAAACUGGGGCUAAUACCGGAUAGGAGCUCCUGCUGCAUGGUGGGGGUUGGAAAGUUUCGGCGGUUGGGGAUGGACUCGCGGCUUAUCAGCUUGUUGGUGGGGUAGUGGCUUACCAAGGCUUUGACGGGUAGCCGGCCUGAGAGGGUGACCGGCCACAUUGGGACUGAGAUACGGCCCAGACUCCUACGGGAGGCAGCAGUGGGGAAUAUUGCACAAUGGGCGGAAGCCUGAUGCAGCAACGCCGCGUGCGGGAUGACGGCCUUCGGGUUGUAAACCGCUUUCGCCUGUGACGAAGCGUGAGUGACGGUAAUGGGUAAAGAAGCACCGGCUGACUACGUG
rnacentral:rRNA from 1 species